rnacentral:rRNA from 1 species
GAUGAACGCUGGCGGCGUGCCUAAUACAUGCAAGUCGAGCGAACGGACGAGAAGCUUGCUUCUCUGAUGUUAGCGGCGGACGGGUGAGUAACACGUGGAUAACCUACCUAUAAGACUGGGAUAACUUCGGGAAACCGGAGCUAAUACCGGAUAAUAUUUUGAACCGCAUGGUUCAAAAGUAAAAGACGGUCUUGCUGUCACUUAUAGAUGGAUCCGCGCUGCAUUAGCUAGUUGGUAAGGUAACGGCUUACCAAGGCAACGAUGCAUAGCCGACCUGAGAGGGUGAUCGGCCACACUGGAACUGCGACACGGUCCAGACUACUACGGGAGGCAGCAGUAGGGAAUCUUCCGCAAUGGGCGAAAGCCUGACGGAGCAACGCCGCUGGAGUGAUGAAGGUCUUCGGAUCGUAAAACUCUGUUAUUAGGGAAGAACAUAUGUGUAAGUAACUGUGCACAUCUUGACGGUACCUAAUCAGAAAGCCACGGCUAACUACGUG